GGAAACCGGGGCUAAUACCGGAUGGUUGUUUGAACCGCAUGGUUCAAACAUAAAAGGUGGCUUCGGCUACCACUUACAGAUGGACCCGCGGCGCAUUAGCUAGUUGGUGAGGUAACGGCUCACCAAGGCAACGAUGCGUAGCCGACCUGAGAGGGUGAUCGGCCACACUGGGACUGAGACACGGCCCAGACUCCUACGGGAGGCAGCAGUAGGGAAUCUUCCGCAAUGGACGAAAGUCUGACGGAGCAACGCCGCGUGAGUGAUGAAGGUUUUCGGAUCGUAAAGCUCUGUUGUUAGGGAAGAACAAGUACCGUUCGAAUAGGGCGGUACCUUGACGGUACCUAACCAGAAAGCCACGGCUAACUACGUGCCAGCAGCCGCGGUAAUACGUAGGUGGCAAGCGUUGUCCGGAAUUAUUGGGCGUAAAGGGCUCGCAGGCGGUUUCUUAAGUCUGAUGUGAAAGCCCCCGGCUCAACCGGGGAGGGUCAUUGGAAACUGGGGAACUUGAGUGCAGAAGAGGAGAGUGGAAUUCCACGUGUAGCGGUGAAAUGCGUAGAGAUGUGGAGGAACACCAGUUGGC
rnacentral:rRNA from 1 species